CCUGGCAGCAUGAGACCCGUGCCUAGUGGUGACACUAAGGAUACCACAGAUGGCAGCUAUAGGCAGCUCAUUUCAGUCCUCCAUCAGGAGGUUGUUGGUUUGUCUUCUCAUCCACAGCCGAGUUCAAAAUGAGCACUGCUUCCCCACAGAGCAAGUGCUCUGAGCAAUGGAGCAGAUCACCUACCUCCGGAUUUUCUUUCUACUAUCAGGAAGUCUCCAUCUACAUGGUUAAGAAGAUGGAUGCCUAAAGCCACAGAUGCAGAUCCUCCCAGUGGCUACAUCAUAUCUCCUACAACAUGACAAAUACAUUAAUUCAUCAUCUGAACUAACACUUCCCACGUGGGAUAACUAGUGCAGCCAACAUUUGAGUGCCUUCCAUGUGCCAGACGCAUAUGAUGCAUUUUGAGGAAUUCAAGAGUUCCCAAGGUGUUUAAAGGAGACAGAGUGCAUGCUAGGACUCAGAUACCGGCUCUUCCAUUAUUUCAAAGCAGUUAAAAAACAAAAAAUGUUCACAUAAUUCUGAGAGCACCGUGUUGGCCUCAAUCAAAGAACUGAAGUUUCAUUGAAGUGGGAGAAAGUGGUGCCCACUCCUUUGUACGUGAACAGGUGGCAGGGAGUUAAAAGACCAUUUGUGAAGAGACCUCCACUGAUGCUAACUACCAGCCUUGAACCAGCCAAGAGUUGAAGCAGAGCAUCCAUGUUAAUCUUCUUCAGAGCAAGAUGGAAACAUACUGAUACUGUGUUACUUACAAAUUGAAGGUUUGUGGCAACCCUCUGUGGAGCCAAGUCUAUCGGUGCCAUUUUUUCCAACAGCAGUUGCUCACUUCACGUCUCUGUGUCAUGUUUUGGUAAGUCUCACAACAUUUCAAACCCUCUACCAACAAAAAGAUUACAACUCACCGAAGACUAAGAUGAUCAUUAGCACUUUUUAGCAAUGAAGUGUUUUUAAUUAAGGUACGUACAUUUUUUAAGACAAUGCUAUUGCACACUUAAUAGACUAUCACAUAACUUUUAUACGCAAUGGGAAACCAAACAAUCUGUGUGACUUGCUUUGUUGAGAUGUUCACUGUGUUGUAGUGGUCUGAAAACAAACCUGCAAUAUCGCCAAGGUACGCCUGUGUUGGUUCUGUAGGUAUCAUUUGAACAGAUAGGAUACGUGUCACAGCAGUCUCUCCCCAGCCAUUCCAGCAGAACCUGUUGCUGACUGAUUCCUUUUCCCCGAGGUUUAUUCAAAGAGUGCUUAACUUUUAUUGGUCUUUGACCUCCAAGAUCCAACUUAUUUUUAAGAUCCAUUCAGGGAAGCAGGGGUUAUCAUAGUACCAUAGUCUUAGGUGCAUUAUCUUAUCUAUGGACAAAAAAUUUAGCAAUACAAAGGGAUUAAAGUACUCUGUGGACAAAUCUCAUUUAUCAAUACAAAUGAUCUCUGAUCCACUUACUUUAAAACUCUACAUUCUAUAGAUAACACUCUGCAAUGUAUGACCUUGUACUAUUUCUCAAGGUGAGGACAUUAUAAAUCAUAUACUGGUAUAUACUGGUAUGUAUUCCCCAUAUACCAUCCACAAUCUGCUCUCCUUUCAUUACCACCCAAAUGUGAUAGUUACAGACAGAACUUUAAGAAAAUAUUUAGAACAUAACCUGGUAUAUGUGAAUUUCACAACUUUAUAUUGUUAUAUGGCAAAAAGCCAUGUUUUUCUUGAAUAAGGAUUCAUAAUUAGUUUACCAAAGUAGUAUGAAUUCUCAAGAAGAUAUAUCCAUUCAAGAUCCUGGGAAUAUCUAUGUGUGUGUAUAUUCCCAGGAUCUUGAAUAUUUAGAGAAUGUUACUUUUACUGAGUAAUUUUGGGGAAUUUUAUUUCCAAAUGAAUGGUGAUGACCUCAAAAUAGUUACUUUAGUAGGUUAUGUAAUUUUAAAUUAUUGAGGUAAUACAAGCAAAACUUCAUUACUUUGGAAAAUAGUUUUUAAAAAAAAUUUAUAAGUAAAAAUCUAAAGAUUUUAUAAAAAAUCUAUUUCUGAGAUUCUCUCUGACAGCUACAUGUAGUAAUCAGCAGGGAACUUUCCCAUUCUUUGCCUCUAGCUCCACUUUCCACCAGAGAAGUAAUUUUGUAGUAGAUAUCUCUUAUCGGGCUGUGAAGUCAUCAACUUCAGUGAUGGUAGAAAUAAUGGAAGCAGCUUUGUCCAGCAUUCCCUCUCCCUCAUUUAACUGAUGAAAAAUUGAGCCUCAAAUUCAGAAAGUGGCUUGUCCAAGUUGAAGAAAAUUUGUAUGUUCUUAGCUAAGUAAAAUAGAAUGAAUUUAAAAUAAAAUUUAUUGCUGAAUUGUUAGAAGUAAUAAAUCAAGGAAAAUAUUUCAAAGCAUCUGAUGGCCACAAAAAACAAGAAUUUUGGAUACCAUACGAGAGAACGAGGUAUGAUAUUGUACUUUCCUUUUUAGAAAGAAGAUAGUGGGGGAUACCUAAUAAUAGUUACUAAAAUUGUAGAUUAAUACUUAGGAUAUAGAUUCUGUUCUAUUGAUGGAACAUGACAAAAGAACUGAUUUGUCACCCUUCUGGGCUCCAAAUUCUC